GGAUUUGGCGUGCUAUAAUGCAGUCGAACGAACUCUGGUAUUGAUUGGUGCUUGCAUCAUGAUUUACAUUUGAGUGAGUGGCGAACUGGUGAGUAACACGUGGGAAACCUGCCCAGAAGCGGGGGAUAACACCUGGAAACAGAUGCUAAUACCGCAUUACAACUUGGACCGCAUGGUCCGAGUUUGAAAGAUGGCUUCGGCUUUCACUUUUGGAUGGUCCCGCGGCGUAUUAGCUAGAUGGUGAGGUAACGGCUCACCAUGGCAAUGAUACGUAGCCGACCUGAGAGGGUAAUCGGCCACAUUGGGACUGAGACACGGCCCAAACUCCUACGGGAGGCAGCAGUAGGGAAUCUUCCACAAUGGACGAAAGUCUGAUGGAGCAACGCCGCGUGAGUGAAGAAGGGUUUCGGCUCGUAAAACUCUGUUAUUAAAGAAGAACAUAUCUGAGAGUAACUGUUCAGGUAUUGACGGUAUUUAACCAGAAAGCCACGGCUAACUACGUGCCAGCAGCCGCGGUAAUACGUAGGUGGCAAGCGUUGUCCGGAUUUAUUGGGCGUAAAGCGAGCGCAGGCGGUUUUUUAAGUCUGAUGUGAAAGCCUUCGGCUCAACCGAAGAAGUGCAUCGGAAACUGGGAAACUUGAGUGCAGAAGAGGACAGUGAAACUCCAUGUGUAGCGGUGAAAUGCGUAGAUAUAUGGAAGAACACCAGUGGCGAAGUCGGGUUGUCUGG
rnacentral:rRNA from 1 species